CCUACGGGGGGCAGCAGUGGGGAAUAUUGGACAAUGGGCGAAAGCCUGAUCCAGCCAUGCCGCGUGUGUGAAGAAGGCCUUCGGGUUGUAAAGCACUUUCAGUGGGGAAGAAAGCCUUGGGGCUAAUACCCUCGAGGAAGGACAUCACCCACAGAAGAAGCACCGGCUAACUCCGUGCCAGCAGCCGCGGUAAUACGGAGGGUGCGAGCGUUAAUCGGAAUUACUGGGCGUAAAGCGCGCGUAGGCGGUCUGAUAAGCCGGUUGUGAAAGCCCCGGGCUCAACCUGGGAACGGCAUCCGGAACUAUCAGGCUAGAGUGCAGGAGAGGAAGGUAGAAUUCCCGGUGUAGCGGUGAAAUGCGUAGAGAUCGGGAGGAAUACCAGUGGCGAAGGCGGCCUUCUGGACUGACACUGACGCUGAGGUGCGAAAGCGUGGGUAGCAAACAGGAUUAGAUACCCCGGUAGUC
rnacentral:rRNA from 1 species